GGACCCGCACAAGCGGUGGAGCAUGUGGUUUAAUUCGACGCAACGCGAAGAACCUUACCUGGGUUAAAUCAAAGGUGUAAGGCUGAGAGAUCAGUCCCCCGGGCAACCGGCGCUUUUGAAGGUGCUGCAUGGCUGUCGUCAGCUCGUGUCGUGAGAUGUUGGGUUAAGUCCCGCAACGAGCGCAACCCUUACCACUAGUUGCCAGCAUUUAGUUGGGCACUCUAGCGGAACUGCCGGUGAUAAACCGGAGGAAGGUGGGGAUGACGUCAAGUCAUCAUGGCCUCUAUGUCCAGGGCUACACACGUGCUACAAUGGCCGGUACAAAACGCUGCGAACUCGCGAGAGGGAGCCAAUCGGAAAAAGCCGGUCUCAGUUCGGAUUGGAGUCUGCAACUCGACUCCAUGAAGUUGGAAUCGCUAGUAAUCGCAGAUCAGCACGCUGCGGUGAAUACGUUCCCGGGUCUU
rnacentral:rRNA from 1 species